rnacentral:rRNA from 1 species
UACGUAGGGUGCGAGCGUUAAUCGGAAUUACUGGGCGUAAAGCGUGCGCAGGCGGUUUUGUAAGCCAGAUGUGAAAUCCCCGGGCUCAACCUGGGAAUGGCAUUUGGGACUGCAAGGCUCGAGUGCGGCAGAGGAGACUGGAAUUCCUGGUGUAGCAGUGAAAUGCGUAGAUACCAGGAGGAACACCGAUGGCGAAGGCAGGUCUCUGGGCUGACACUGACGCUCAUGCACGAAAGCGUGGGGAGCAAACAGG